AUAUAUUAUUUAAGUUUUAAUCCUUUUUUUCCUUUUACCUAUGUAAAUCCACUUCCCUUAACCCCCUUUUUUUUAUAUAACCUCCCUCUCUCUCUCACAAAGCGAAUAUAAACUAUUAUCUGCUAUUCUUUGUGAGAGAUAAUCUGCAGCAAAUUGAGUUUUUAUUUAUUUAAUUUUUUGUUAAUCUGAUUUACAGAGAGAAUCGGAGGGCAACAAGCUAAAAUCUUCAUUCUUUCUUAUCCAAUUUUUUUGCAUAUAAUGAAGAAGAAAGGUAACUGUCCUGAUGCUCAGAUUACUUAAUUCUGACCAAGAUCAUGUUGGAGGGUCCAUCAUAUCUUGUGUCAAGGGAUUUUCCAAGCUCCUGCGAGCAAGAGAGCAAGUGGAUUUAUAACACUUUUCAUGUAACCGAGCUCGCAAGAAGCAAGUGCCAGAUGGAAGAUGGAGAAGACCAGAUGAUGAGAAAAGUUCUCAAGCCACUCGAAGGUGAUGAAAACAAGGGGGAAAAGGAGGAUAUGUCCCUUGCCCAGUUUGACUGUCCAGAUAACCACCGCCACGCAGGUGAUCAUUCAGAAACAAGUUUACUGAUCCAGCAGCUUGGGCAAGACAUCUCAAUUAACUGUCUCCUCCGCUGCUCAAGGUCUGAUUAUGGUGCCAUUGCAUCUUUGAAUAAGGGUUUCCGCUCUGUUAUUCGGAGUGGUGAACUGUACAAGUUGAGGCGUGAAAUGGGAAUUGUUGAACAUUGGAUUUACUUUUCUUGCAGCCUUUUGGAAUGGGAGGCUUUUGAUCCAAUUCGUCAUCGAUGGAUGCAUUUGCCCAAAAUGACCUCUAAUGAAUGUUUCAUGUGUUCAGAUAAGGAGUCAUUGGCAGUUGGGACCGAACUUCUUGUUUUUGGAAAGGAAAUAUCAUUCCAUGUUAUUUAUAGAUAUAGCAUUUUGACUAACACGUGGUCAUCUGGGAUGAAGAUGAAUACACCCCGGUGUUUGUUUGGAUCUGCCAGCCUGGGCGAAAUUGCAAUUCUAGCUGGUGGUUGUGAUCCACAUGGGAAUAUUUUGAGCUCUGCAGAGCUUUAUAAUUCAGAAACCGGCAAGUGGGUGACCAUUCCAAACAUGAUUAAAGCAAGAAAAAUGUGUUCUGCUGUAUUUAUGGAUAGGAAGUUUUAUGUUAUUGGUGGAAUUGGGGUUGGGAGUGCAAAAACGCUGACAUGUGGGGAGGUGUAUGAUCUGAAGACGAAGAUGUGGCAUGAGAUACCUAACAUGUAUCCUGCACGAAAUGGAGUGGCUGGAGCAACUGAAGCACCUGCCGCAGCUGAGGCGCCUCCACUAGUGGCAGUUGUGAAUAAUGAGCUGUAUGCAGCUGAUUAUGCAGAUAAAGAGGUGAGGAAAUAUGACAAAGAGAAGAACUUGUGGGUCGCACUAGGGGGACUACCUGACCGAGCAGUCUCUAUGAAUGGUUGGGGCUUAGCGUUUAGGGCCUGUGGGGAUCGACUAAUUGUUAUUGGCGGACCUAGGGCUUUAGGUGAAGGGAUGAUCGAGCUAAACUCUUGGGUUCCAAAUGAUGGCCCACCACAAUGGAACUUGCUUGCAAGAAAGCCCUCUGGCAGUUUUGUUUAUAACUGUGCUGUGAUGGGAUGCUGAAAUGUGCAUCCAGUUUUGGUGGCACUGUGAUGCUGUACAAGUCCUUUUUCUACUGGAACUUACAGCUCUGUCCUUCAAGGAGAAUGUCUUCUGGGUAAUCUCUGCCUUCCUUUUGUGGGAAAUUUCAUGCUUCAUGUAGAUGGAGAAGGGUUUGUCAAAGGUUGGUUUUGGGUUGAACAUGCACAGUUAAAUAAUUUCAAGUCCCAGUACAUUUUAGGUCGUUUUCAAUAUCCACCAAGUUUCUUUCGCUAAGUAUUGUUUCUCUCAUGUUGAUUGCUUACUUAUUUAAUAUGUUAAAAGUUAUAAAUAAUGACAUUCAGACCCCAUUCAAAAACAAGUAAAAAAAAGGAAGGGAAAAGUUAUCGUACAAAACUAAAAAGGUUUAGUCUGUUGGUUUUUAACUAACUACUGCUUCUUUUGUUUAUGAAGUUUUUAUACUCCAGGUAAAUGACUUCUUGAUAGAUUAGUAGAUUUUAAACUCGUUAAUGACGAUGACUGUGAAUAAGAAAUACAUUGUAGGAGAAAUACUGAGCUACAUUAUUUGUUCUCUAAUUUGAUUCAUAUGGUCUGCAAAUAUCUUUUGAUCAGUUUUAAGAGCUUGAUAGAACAAAGUAGAAAAUAUAUCACUAAGAUCAACAAGUAAAUCAGGUUCGUUAAUUUGAAAAAUGGGGAUGAACAUUUGGUCAAUACGAGAUGGAUAACCUUGUUGGUACGACCUAUGAAUUUGUCCAAUUAAGCAUGCCUGUGAAAACUUUCUUUAGCUCAAAAUACGUUAGGAAGGGAAAAUAACGUGUCAACUCUCAAUGAAAACUAUACGGCAAUUCUUAUAAUUUAUUCUUAUUUCAGCAUUGAUAUGGUUAUAGUCAAGGAAAUUUUCUACUGUAUUUUAUUUCUGUGCACAGUAUGCAACUUCUAACAUUGUACUUUAUCACUCUGUUCCAAGUAGGUUCAAUGGCUUGGCUUUCUCUUUUAUAUCGGUUCACCAAGAUACAGAAAACCUUUUCAUGAUUUUCCUGCAGAUGUAUGAACCUACAGCAGAUUGUGCUUUGUGAUACUGUUGAUUGGACAUAUUUGGAAAGAAGAGUUUCUCUUUGAUCAAUUUUCUCUGGAAUUUAGAAGCUUGCAGCCAUUAUUGCUUCCAUAUAUGCACGUUUCUAUUGACCCUUUGGUUGCAAACAUUUAGAUGGAUUCGGAUCCUAAUAUUUUGUGAGCUUGCACUUCAUAUUCCUAACAAACGUUCACAUUUCAUUGAAGUUCUAUUAGGUUCCAUUGCCCUUUAUCCAUAAUUGAUACUGAAAGCAUUAUACUUUGCUUAAGUUCUAUUUGGUUGCUUGUUUCUUUAUCCGUAAUUGAUGGUAAAAGCAUUAUAGAUUGCUUGCUUCAUGGAUUUAUGGCUUUUAGUUAUCUUUCAGUAUAAAUCUUCAUUUACAUGGGGAUGCAUCUGGAAGCAAUUUCCAUGAAUAAACCCAUCAUUAACUAUAUCUAAUGCAAAAAACUUUUAUAGAUGUUUGUUAACUCUGUAUUUUUUCAUUAAAACCUCUUUUACUUUCUCUUUUUUUUUUUUCUGAAUUUGCUUUGGGGCACUGAGUCGGGAUGCUAUAGUUUUUCUUCCUUCUAUGUUCCUGGAACAUAAUCAAAGCUGAGGAUUUGUUAAGAUGGUGAGUUCAUCUGUUUCUGUUCUAUGGAUUGAACAGCAUGCACCUUUUCCUUCCAAGAGUUGUAAUUCAAAGUAGGAAGUUUGCAUGAACAACAAUGCAAAUCAACUGCAAAGUGAUAUCUUAUACCUAUAUACGAAGAUUUUUGUUAAAGGCGUGCACAAGAGCAAAGGGCUUGGUGCUGUCUCUUUCACAAUUUACCUGUAGUUUUUUGUGUUUUCCGGGGGAAAGAGAAGAAAACAGUUAGAAGAUCAACAUCCUAAGAAAUUCAUGUUUUGAUCUUGGGCAUCAGAUGUAUAUGACAACAAACUAGAAAACUUGGGAUCUAUGUUGCUCUGGCUCUUGAUUUUUCUUGAAGCACCCGUACCUGACAUCCUUGUACUAUGCAUAUUCGGACAUAGGUACGAGGAUACAACUCUACAAGGAUACUCCAAAUACAUGGGAAAAUUUUAAAGAAGCCGUCUAGAACACAUAUCCGUGUCUACUCACACAUGAACUCGUGUAACAUAGCUUCGGGUAUAUGGCUGGUUGGAUGGUAUUAUAAUGCACAUGAGAAGACUGAAGAUAAGCUGCCGAAAAGGAAUUUAGUUGUCUUACAUACAUAAAUGCUUACAGUGAGAAAAGGAGAGGCCACAAGCUUUCAAUAGGGUAUUGUCAGGAUGAUGAUGAUGAUGCGGAAACUUGAGAUCAACAAUUUGAAGUUUGAAUGGACAAUUCAAAGUGAGUCGAAAAGAUGGUUUCUUGAGAUUACUUUAUGCACAAGUUAUCUUGAUUAAAUUCGAGAAUUACCGGCAAGCAAAAGAUAGAUUAGAAGAUAGAAAAGAUGUAAACUAUCAAGAAUCAAAAUACUUCAAGGAAGAAGCAUCCUUGUGUUUUUGAAACGAUUGGAUCUUUUUGGGCUCCAAGUUACUUGAAGAAAAAGGAAUGAAAUUUUAAAAAAUUGAAUAAGAAUAA